AUGACUUUGUUUCCCAGGAAAUCCGUGCAGCGGAAGAUCCUGAAUUUGAGACUUUCUACACCAAAAAUAUUCUUUUAA
rnacentral:rRNA from 1 species